rnacentral:snoRNA from 1 species
AUGCGAAUAAUUCUCGCUGGAUUGAUCUGGUUGUGGUCAGAUCCGGGCUAGACAUUCGCUAGACUGAUACUAGGCAGUGUCCUAGAGCUGGCAUUCAGUCUGGUUCUGAUGCUUUAAUGCCAGUUACAUCU